UACGUAGGGGGCAAGCGUUGUCCGGAUUUACUGGGCGUAAAGAGCGUGUAGGCGGCCAAACAGGUCCGUUGUGAAAACUGGAGGCUCAACCUCCAGACGUCGACGGAAACCGUGUGGCUAGAGUCCGGAAGAGGAGAGUGGAAUUCCCGGUGUAGCGGUGAAAUGCGCAGAUAUCGGGAGGAACACCGGUGGCGAAGGCGGUUCUCUGGGCCUUACCUGACGCUGAGGAGCGAAAGCGUGGGGAGCGAACAGG
rnacentral:rRNA from 1 species